rnacentral:rRNA from 1 species
GGAACGAACGCUGGCGGCAUGCCUAAUACAUGCAAGUCGAACGAACUCUUCGGAGUUAGUGGCGCACGGGUGCGUAACGCGUGGGAAUCUGCCCCUUGGUUCGGAAUAACAGUUGGAAACGACUGCUAAUACCGGAUGAUGACGAAAGUCCAAAGAUUUAUCGCCAAGGGAUGAGCCCGCGUAGGAUUAGCUAGUUGGUGAGGUAAAGGCUCACCAAGGCAACGAUCCUUAGCUGGUCUGAGAGGAUGAUCAGCCACACUGGGACUGAGACACGGCCCAGACUCCUACGGGAGGCAGCAGUAGGGAAUAUUGGACAAUGGGCGAAAAGCCUGAUCCAGCAAAUGCCGCGUGAGUGAUGAAGG